GCCAGCAGCCGCGGUAAUACGGAAAGGUCCAGGCGUUAUCCGGAUUUAUUGGGUUUAAAGGGAGUGUAGGCUGUUAGAUAAGCGUGUUGUGAAAUAUUCUAGCUUAACUAGAAUCGUGCAGCGCGAACUGUUUAACUUGAGUUCGUUCAACGUAGGCGGAAUUUAUGGUGUAGCGGUGAAAUGCUUAGAUAUCAUAAAGAACUCCGAUUGCGAAGGCAGCUUACGGGGUCGUAACUGACGCUAAAGCUCGAAGGUGCGGGUAUCGAACAGGAUUAGAUACCCUGGUAGUCCGCACAGUAAACUAUGGAUGCCCGCUUUUGGUAUUAAAUAUAUCAGAGGCUAAGUGAAAACGUUAAGCAUCCCACCUGGGGAGUACGCCGGCAACGGUGAAACUCAAAGGAAUUGACGGGGGCCCGCACAAGCGGAGGAACAUGUGGUUUAAUUCGAUGAUACGCGAGGAACCUUACCCGGGCUUGAAUUACAUAAGUAGUUAUUAGAGACAAUAAUUUCCUUUCGGGGACUUAUGUGAAGGUGCUGCAUGGUUGUCGUCAGCUCGUGCCGUGAGGUGUCGGCUUAAGUGCCAUAACGAGCGCAACCCUUUUCCUUAGUUGCCAUCAGUAACGCUGGGCACUCUAUGGAUACUGCCACCGUAAGGUGUGAGGAAGGUGGGGAUGACGUCAAAUCAGCACGGCCCUUACGUCCGGGGCUACACACGUGUUACAAUGGUUAGUACAGAAAGUCGGUUAUCCGUAAGAAUAAUCAAAUCUAAAAAACUAAUCUCAGUUCGGACUGGGGUCUGCAACCCGACCCCACGAAGCUGGAUUCGCUAGUAAUCGCGCAUCAGCCAUGGCGCGGUGAAUACGUUCCCGGGCCUUGUACACACCGCCCGUCAAGCCAUGAAAGCUGGGGGUGCCUGAAGUCCGUGACCGCAAGGGUCGGCCUAGGGCAAAACUAGUGAUUGGGGCU
rnacentral:rRNA from 1 species